rnacentral:rRNA from 1 species
CCAGACUCCUACGGGAGGCAGCAGUGGGGAAUAUUGCACAAUGGGGGAAACCCUGAUGCAGCGACGCCGCGUGAGUGAAGAAGUAUUUCGGUAUGUAAAGCCCUAUCAGCAGGGAAGAAGAAAUGACGGUACCUGAGUAAGAAGCACCGGCUAAAUACGUGCCAGCAGCCGCGGUAAUACGUAUGGUGCAAGCGUUAUCCGGAUUUACUGGGUGUAAAGGGAGCGCAGGCGGCACGGCAAGCCUGAUGUGAAAGCCCGGGGCCCAACCCCGGGACUGCCCUUGGAACUGCAUGGCUGGAGUGCGGGAGGGGCAGGCGGAAUUCCUGGUGUAGCGGUGAAAUGCGUAGAUAUCAGGAGGAACACCGGCGGCGAAGGCGGCCUGCUGGACCGCGACUGACGUUGAGGCUCGAAAGCGUGGGGAGCGAACAGGAUUAGAUACCCUUGUA